rnacentral:rRNA from 1 species
UACGAAGGGGGCUAGCGUUGCUCGGAAUCACUGGGCGUAAAGGGUGCGUAGGCGGGUCUUUAAGUCAGGGGUGAAAUCCUGGAGCUCAACUCCAGAACUGCCUUUGAUACUGAGAUCUUGAGUCGGGAGAGGUGAGUGGAACUGCGAGUGUAGAGGUGAAAUUCGUAGAUAUUCGCAAGAACACCAGUGGCGAAGGCGCUCACUGGCCCAUUACUGACGCUGAGGCACGAAAGCCAGGGGAGACGAACG